rnacentral:rRNA from 1 species
AGCGAACGCUGGCGGCAGGCCUAACACAUACAAGUCGAACGAAGUCUUCGGACUUAGUGGCGGACGGGUGAGUAACACGUGGGAACGUGCCUUUAGGUUCGGAAUAACUCAGGGAAACUUGUGCUAAUACCGAAUGUGCCCUUCGGGGGAAAGAUUUAUCGCCUUUAGAGCGGCCCGCGUCUGAUUAGCUAGUUGGUGAGGUAAAGGCUCACCAAGGCGACGAUCAGUAGCUGGUCUGAGAGGACGAUCAGCCACAUUGGGACUGAGACACGGCCCAAACUCCUACGGGAGGCAGCAGUGGGGAAUCUUGCGCAAUGGGCGAAAGCCUGACGCAGCCAUGCCGCGUGAAUGAUGAAGGUCUUAGGAUUGUAAAAUUCUUUCACCGGGGACGAUAAUGACGGUACCCGGAGAAGAAGCCCCGGCUAACUUCGUGCCAGCAGCCGCCGUAACAC